rnacentral:rRNA from 1 species
GACAGAGGGUGCAAACGUUGUUCGGAUUUACUGGGCGUAAAGCGCGUGUAGGCGGCUUCGCAAGUUGGAUGUGAAAGCCCACGGCUCAACCGUGGAAGCGCAUCCAAAACUGCGUCGCUGGAGUCCCGGAGAGGAAGGUGGAAUGCUUGGUGUAGAGGUGAAAUUCGUAGAUAUCAAGCAGAACACCUGCGGCGAAGGCGGCCUUCUGGACGGUGACUGACGCUGAGACGCGAAAGCGUGGGGAAGCAAACAGGG